UACACGAGCGGCGAACGGGUGAGUAACACGUGGGUGAUCUGCCCUGCACUCUGGGAUAAGCUUGGGAAACUGGGUCUAAUACCGGAUAUGACCACAGNAUGCAUGUGUUGUGGUGGAAAGAUUUAUCGGUGCAGGAUGGGCCCGCGGCCUAUCAGCUUGUUGGUGGGGUAAUGGCCUACCAAGGCGACGACGGGUAGCCGACCUGAGAGGGUGACCGGCCACACUGGGACUGAGACACGGCCCAGACUCCUACGGGAGGCAGCAGUGGGGAAUAUUGCACAAUGGGCGGAAGCCUGAUGCAGCGACGCCGCGUGAGGGAUGAAGGCCUUCGGGUUGUAAACCUCUUUCAGCAGGGACGAAGCGUGAGUGACGGUACCUGCAGAAGAAGCACCGGCUAACUACGUGCCAGCAGCCGCGGUAAUACGUAGGGUGCGAGCGUUGUCCGGAAUUACUGGGCGUAAAGAGUUCGUAGGCGGUUUGUCGCGUCGUUUGUGAAAACCCGGGGCUCAACUUCGGGCUUGCAGGCGAUACGGGCAGACUUGAGUGUUUCAGGGGAGACUGGAAUUCCUGGUGUAGCGGUGAAAUGCGCAGAUAUCAGGA
rnacentral:rRNA from 1 species